GACGAGGGGUCCUAACGUUGUUCGGAAUCAUUGGGCGUAAAGCGGGUGUAGGUGGCUUCGUAAGUCAGGUGUGAAAGCCCUGGGCUCAACCCAGGAAGUGCAUUUGAAACUGCGUUGCUUGAGUGUCGGAGAGGUUCGUGGAAUUCCUGGUGUAGUGGUGAAAUACGUAGAUAUCAGGAGGAAUACCGGUGGGGAAGCCGGCGAACCGGCCGAACACUGACACUGAAACCCGAAAGCAUGGGGAUCAAACAGGAUUAGAAACCCGGGUAGU
rnacentral:rRNA from 1 species